rnacentral:rRNA from 1 species
GGAGUUAGCCGGUGCUUCUUCUGUGAGUGAUGUCCUUCCUGCCGGUUAUUGACCCGCAGGCCUUCUUCCUCACUGAAAGUGCUUUACAACCCGAAGGCCUUCUUCACACACGCGGCAUGGCUGGAUCAGGGUUGCCCCCAUUGUCCAAUAUUCCCCACUGCUGCCUCCCGUAGGAGUCUGGGCCGUGUCUCAGUCCCAGUGUGGCUGAUCAUCCUCUCAGACCAGCUACGGAUCGUCGCCUUGGUGAGCCGUUACCUCACCAACCAGCUAAUCCGACAUAGGCUCAUCCGAUAGCGCGAGGCCCGAAGGUCCCCCGCUUUCCCCCGUAGGGCGUAUGCGGUAUUAGCCUGGGUUUCCCCAGGUUAUCCCCCACUACCGGGCAGAUUCCUAUGCAUUACUCACCCGUCCGCCGCUCGCCACCAGGGAGCAAGCUCCCCGUGCUGCCGCUCGACUUGCAUGUGUUAGGCCUGCCGCCAGCGUUCAAUCUGAGCCANAAUCAAACCUCUGA